UACGAAGGCCCCGAGCGUUAUCCGGAAUUAUUGGGCGUAAAGGGUGCGUAGGUGGUUUUGCGCGUCUGUUGUUAAAUGUCACAGCUCAACUGUGUCACCGCAAUGGAUACGGCAAGACUAGAGGAUGCAAGAGGUUUGCGGAAUUUAUGGUGUAGGGGUGAAAUCCGUUGAUAUCAUAGAGAACACCGAAGGCGAAGGCAGCAAACUGGUGCAUUUCUGACACUGAGGCACGAAAGCGUGGGGAGCAAAAAGG
rnacentral:rRNA from 1 species